rnacentral:rRNA from 1 species
GAUGAACGCUGGCGGUAUGCUUAACACAUGCAAGUCGAACGGACUCUUCGGAGUUAGUGGCGGACGGGUGAGUAACGCGUGAGAAUCUGGCUUUGGGUUCGGGACAACCACUGGAAACGGUGGCUAAUACCGGAUGUGCCGAGAGGUAAAAGAGAAAUUGCCUGAAGAUGAGCUCGCGUCUGAUUAGCUAGUUGGUGAGGUAAAGGCUCACCAAGGCAGCGAUCAGUAGCUGGUCUGAGAGGAUGACCAGCCACACUGGGACUGAGACACGGCCCAGACUCCUACGGGAGGCAGCAGUGGGGAAUUUUCCGCAAUGGGCGAAAGCCUGGCGGAGCAAUACCGCGUGAGGGAAGAAGGCUCUUGGGUUGUAAACCUCUUUUCUUAGGGAAGAACAAAAUGACGGUACCUAAGGAAUCAGCAUCGGCUAACUCCGUG